UACGGAGGGGGCUAGCGUUGUUCGGAAUUACUGGGCGUAAAGCGCGCGUAGGCGGACCUGCAAGUCGGGGGUGAAAGCCCGAGGCUCAACCUCGGAACUGCCUUCGAUACUGCGGGUCUCGAGUCCGGGAGAGGUGAGUGGAAUUCCUAGUGUAGAGGUGAAAUUCGUAGAUAUUAGGAAGAACACCGGUGGCGAAGGCGGCUCACUGGCCCGGUACUGACGCUGAGGUGCGAAAGCGUGGGGAGCAAACAGG
rnacentral:rRNA from 1 species